ACAGGUUCUGACAUACGUCUUAAUUAGUGCCCCGUUUUUGCUGGAAACGACAGUCAGCUGACUUACAUGCAGUAUAAUGCAAUGUGCAGUGACAGACUUCGGUGAAAAACCCACAGGUUCCUCCAGAAACAUGAGGCCCAUGAGAAGGGAAAUUAACGAGUGCCAGCUGACACGUUAGGGGAGGCCUCGCGGCUGCAGUCUCUUCCAUAAGAUUGGCACAGAAAGACACGACAAGAGCUCAUGUUCAUCUCGUCCAGGUACCAGUCGCUCUGACUGCGGCACACAAUCGGAUAACCAGGAAAAUUCGCGAAGCGUCAGAAGCUGGGGUGGAAACGCGGCAUCACUCAUGAGGCUACCAGACGGCGUCUGAUUUUAGGAAGCGCUGCGUAUUGGAGUCAUCUCCUGGCAAGCCGGCAGACGUAAGGGAUCGCCAGGGCAGUGGCAAACGACCUCGCUUCAUGGUCUCUGUACAACCGCAUGCAGGGGACCGGGACAAAGACGCUCCGUCCGGGGGAGCCCCCCCCCCCCCGAAAGUAAACAACAAAAGGACGCUUUGCUGUCGCCCUUCUCUACGGGAUGAAACGAUCUCAUGCGUCUUCACUGUUGGCAGUUUUCCGCUGGGUUCACCACUGAUACUACUAUGUGCUACAGUUUCAAUUCAAAUCGCCGGUUUUAAAGCCGGUUGGGCAACGCGUCCAAUGCAUGCAUUUAAAGAAGGAAUGCAUCGACCCCUUUUGACGGAGACCCCCCCUUCACGAAAAUGUUACGAUCUGGGAAAUUAAAUGAAAUAGUCCUAUACGUGAUAAGAUCGCAUUCUCUCAUGGAGACAGUUUUUCGGAAAUAAGCAAACGGACCCAGUUAAUACAAGACGCAGGAAAGCGAAUAUUAUAAGCUGUGGGAAAACACAAAGUGUCAAGGCGGACUAAUCGAAUGAAGGUGUUGGUAUUUUCGGUUUGAAAACUGCAACAAUAAUAAAAUGGAGUGGGUGGUCUUUGCUCAGCACUUACUUCCCCCUCUCCAUCUAUAAUUUGAUCCUUUGUAUUGCUGGGUGCCCCAAGCUCCAGCGACCCAUCACACCACACAAUCCCACAACCCAACAGUCUCCGCACCUUCAGGUUUUAUCGUGCCAUUUCGUUUUUUUUUUUUUUUUUAACGAGUAUCUAGAACUAACUAGGGUAGAUCAGGCAUUUAUUAAGGACGUGAUUAACGUUUCUCCAAAAAUGACACUGCUUUUAAAUCUUAAUUAUUUUGAUAGCUUAAUAUUUUGCAUAAAAAUAAACAUUUAACCACAGUUUCCCCCACCCCUUGGAUAAAGUCGCUCCGGUAGAUGGCACGGGACGGCUCCCUGCUUGCGCUGGCUUACCUUGGGCAGCUCCCGGAGCUGGUUGGCAUCGAGCAGCAA